UACGGGGGAGCAAGCGUUGUUCGGAUUACUGGCGUAAAGGGCGCGUAGGCGGUCGUGACAAGUCACUUGUGAAAUCUCCGGGCUUAACUCGGAACGGUCAAGUGAUACUGUCGACUAGAGUACAGAAGGGGCAACUGGAAUUCUCGGUGUAGCGGUGAAAUGCGUAGAUAUCGAGAGGAACACCUGCGGCGAAGGCGGGUUGCUGGGCUGAUACUGACGCUGAGGUGCGAAAGCGUGGGGAGCAAACAGG
rnacentral:rRNA from 1 species